rnacentral:rRNA from 1 species
GAUGAACGCUGGCGGCGUGCCUAACACAUGCAAGUCGAGCGCGAUUAAGUGGAGUGAGAACUUCGGUUCAAGUGAAACUUAUGAAAGCGGCGGACGGGUGAGUAACGCGUGGGUAACCUGCCCCAUACAAAGGGAUAGCCACUGGAAACGGUGAUUAAUACCUUAUAAGUCGGUAGUCUCGCAUGAGACAGCCGACAAAGAUUUAUCGGUAUGGGAUGGACCCGCGUCUGAUUAGCUAGUUGGUGAGGUAACGGCUCACCAAGGCGACGAUCAGUAGCCGACCUGAGAGGGUGAUCGGCCACACUGGAACUGAGACACGGUCCAGACUCCUACGGGAGGCAGCAGUGGGGAAUAUUGCACAAUGGGCGCAAGCCUGAUGCAGCAACGCCGCGUGAGUGAUGAAGGCUUUCGGGUCGUAAAACUCUGUCCUAUGGAAGAAAAAAUAGACGGUACCAUAGGAGGAAGCCCGGCUAACUACGUGCCAGCAGCCGCGGUAAAG